GUGCCAGCAGCCGCGGUAAUACGGAGGGUGCGAGCGUUAAUCGGAAUCACUGGGCGUAAAGCGCGCGUAGGCGGCUUGGUAAGUCGGAUGUGAAACCCCCGGGCUCAACCUGGGACGUGCAUUCGAUACUGUCGAGCUCGAGUGCGAUAGAGGGGGGUGGAAUUCCAGGUGUAGCGGUGAAAUGCGUAGAUAUCUGGAGGAACACCGGUGGCGAAGGCGGCCCCCUGGAUCGACACUGACGCUGAGGUGCGAAAGCGUGGGGAGCAAACAGGAUUAGAAACCCCCGUAGUCC
rnacentral:rRNA from 1 species